CACGGUUGUUCCAACAAGUACUAUACAGUUCAUGAUAUAACAAUAUUGUUACAACCCCGUGUCAUCAUAACAUUGUAACAUUCUUGUUAUAUCAUGACUGUAUCAGACUUGUUGGAACAACCUUG